GCAGGUGAAUGCAACGUCAAGCGAUGGGCGUUGCGCUCCAUAUUUGUUAUACUUUUAUUUUGAAUUACUGCAUAGCAUUUAAUUGUUACUGUCAACGACGGAUGAAAAGUGAUCCACUUAU
rnacentral:sRNA from 14 species